GACGAACGCUGGCGGCGUGCUUAACACAUGCAAGUCGAACGGAAAGGCCUUUUCGGAGGUACUCGAGUGGCGAACGGGUGAGUAACACGUGGGUGAUCUGCCCUGCACUCUGGGAUAAGCCUGGGAAACUGGGUCUAAUACCGGAUAGGACCGCACUUUAGAGUGUGUGGUGGAAAGUUUUUUCGGUGUAGGAUGAGCCCGCGGCCUAUCAGCUUGUUGGUGGGGUAAUGGCCUACCAAGGCGGCGACGGGUAGCCGGACUGAGAGGUUGGUCGGCCACAUUCGGUCUGUGCGACGCGCCAGACCCUCUCAGGAGGCAGAGGGGGGGAAUAUUGCAGAGUGGGCGGAAUCCUGAGCCAGCGACUCAUGGUGAUGGUUGACGGCCUGCGGGUGAUAAUCUCCUGUCGCCAGGGACGAGGCGAGUUGUGACGGUACCUGGAGAAGAAGCUCCGGCUAACUACGUG
rnacentral:rRNA from 1 species